rnacentral:rRNA from 1 species
GGAGUUAGCCGGUGCUUCUUCUGUGAGUGAUGUCCUUCCUGCCGGCUAUUAACCCGCAGGCCUUCUUCCUCACUGAAAGUGCUUUACAACCCGAAGGCCUUCUUCACACACGCGGCAUGGCUGGAUCAGGGUUGCCCCCAUUGUCCAAUAUUCCCCACUGCUGCCUCCCGUAGGAGUCUGGGCCGUGUCUCAGUCCCAGUGUGGCUGAUCAUCCUCUCAGACCAGCUACGGAUCGUCGCCUUGGUGAGCCGUUACCUCACCAACCAGCUAAUCCGACAUAGGCUCAUCCGAUAGCGCGAGGCCCGAAGGUCCCCCGNUUUCCCCCGUAGGGCGUAUGCGGUAUUAGCCUGGGUUUCCCCAGGUUAUCCCCCACUACCGGGCAGAUUCCUAUGCAUUACUCACCCGUCCGCCGCUCGCCACCAGGGAGCAAGCUCCCCGUGCUGCCGCUCGACUUGCAUGUGUUAGGCCUGCCGCCACGCGUCAUCUGAGCACUAAUACAACUACUGA